rnacentral:rRNA from 1 species
AGUGAACGCUGGCGGUAGGCCUAACACAUGCAAGUCGAACGGCAGCACAGUAAGAGCUUGCUCUUACGGGUGGCGAGUGGCGGACGGGUGAGGAAUACAUCGGAAUCUACUUUUUCGUGGGGGAUAACGUAGGGAAACUUACGCUAAUACCGCAUACGACCUACGGGUGAAAGCAGGGGAUCUUCGGACCUUGCGCGAUUGAAUGAGCCGAUGUCGGAUUAGCUAGUUGGCGGGGUAAAGGCCCACCAAGGCGACGAUCCGUAGCUGGUCUGAGAGGAUGAUCGGCCACACUGGAACUGAGACACGAUCCAGACUCCUACGGGAGGCAGCAGUGGGGAAUAUUGGACAAUGAGCGCAAGCCUGAUCCAGCCAUACCGCGUGGGUGAAGAAGGCCUUCGGGUUGUAAAGCCCUUUUGUUGGGAAAGAAAAGCAGCAGGUUAAUACCCCGCUGUUCUGACGGUACCCAAAGAAUAAGCACCGGCUAACUUCGUG